AUACUAUAUUAUUUGUGUAUUAUAUUAUUGUUCAGUAAAAAAAAGAUUUGAAAUGUUUUUCACCUUCUCCUAGCAUCGCGCUGCCUCUUCUUCUCCUAACUUCUAUAGCUCUCGCCGCUGCUUUGCUCCAUCUGUCCCAGCAGCGACGCUCACCAUUCUAGCCCCGUUCGAAACAUACUUCUACAUCUCCAUCGCCUCGCCGCCGGAGCAAAUCUCAUGUCAACGUCACUGGAAGAAUAAUUUAAGAAUCUUAUAGAAGAAUUAUUGUUACUAACAUUGAAAGAAGAAAUCAAAUUCCCCUUUGUUGCAAUAUUCUGAAUCACAGAAAAUCAAAUUCCCCUUGAAGUGCGUUGCCACUGUGACAAACGGUGAGAGGCGGCGACGGUGCAACAUUGACGGCGAUGAGAAAAACCGAGGGAGAAGAAAAGGACUAAAAGGAGCUAAUAGAAAAGGAGCAAAGCCGCUCUCAU